AACCAUAGAAACCUGCGGAGUACCUGCGGAGGGAUCAUUACCGAGUGCGGGUCCUCGUGGCCCAACCUCCCACCCGUGACUAUUGUACCUUGUUGCUUCGGCGGGCCCGUGCCCGCCGGAGACCCCAACAUGAACCCUGUUCUGAAAGCUUGCAGUCUGAGUGUGAUUCUUUGCAAUCAGUUAAAACUUUCAACAACGGAUCU
rnacentral:misc_RNA from 1 species